AACGAACGCUGGCGGCAUGCCUAACACAUGCAAGUCGAACGAGACCUUCGGGUCUAGUGGCGCACGGGUGCGUAACGCGUGGGAACCUGCCCUUAGGUUCGGAAUAACUCCCCGAAAGGGGUGCUAAUACCGGUUAAUGUCUUCGGACCAAAGAUUUAUCGCCUUUGGAUGGGCCCGCGUUGGAUUAGCUAGUUGGUAGGGUAAAAGCCUACCAAGGCGACGAUCCAUAGCUGGUCUGAGAGGAUGAUCAGCCACACUGGGACUGAGACACGGCCCAGACUCCUACGGGAGGCAGCAGAGGAGAAUAUUGGACAAGGGGCGAAAGCCUGAUCCAGCAAUGCCGCGUAAGUGAUGAAGGCCUUAGGGUUGUAAAGCUCUUUUACCCGGGAUGAUAAUGACAGUACCGGGAGAAUAAGCUCCGGCUAACUCCGUG
rnacentral:rRNA from 1 species